rnacentral:siRNA from 1 species
AUUCGCGAUCUUGAUCUAUCGA